rnacentral:pre_miRNA from 1 species
UCUUUCGGAUGAGCAAAGAAAGUGGCUUCUUGUGAUAAAAUCUAUUCUUGGUGAAGAUCCUAUGAA